UACGGAGGGGCAAGCGUUGUUCGGAAUUACUGGGCGUAAAGGGCGCGCAGGCGGCUGCUCAAGUCAGGCGUGAAAGGCCUGGGCUCAACCCGGGAAUUGCGCUUGAGACUGGGCUGGCUUGAGUGCGGGAGAGGAUGGUGGAAUUCCCAGUGUAGAGGUGAAAUUCGUAGAUAUUGGGAAGAACACCGGUGGCGAAGGCGGCCAUCUG
rnacentral:rRNA from 1 species